AUUGAACGCUGGCGGCAUGCUUUACACAUGCAAGUCGAGCGGCAGCGCGGGGGCAACCCUGGCGGCGAGCGGCGAACGGGUGAGUAAUACAUCGGAACGUACCCAGGAGUGGGGAUAGCCCGGCGAAAGCCGGAUUAAUACCGCAUACGAUCUUAGGAUGAAAGUGGGGGCUCGCAAGACCUCACGCUUUUGGAGCGGCCGAUGUCCGAUUAGCUAGUUGGUGGGGAAAGGCUUACCAAGGCGACGAUCGGUAGCUGGUCUGAGAGGAUGAUCAGCCACACUGGGACUGAGACACGGCCCAGACUCCUACGGGAGGCAGCAGUGGGGAAUUUUGGACAAGUGGGGGAACCUGAUCCAGCCAUGCCGCGUG
rnacentral:rRNA from 1 species